rnacentral:lncRNA from 1 species
UGGUGGAAAGAACAAAGAUGCAGCCCUCACAGGCUGUGUUGUGCAGCAGUGCACAACACGUUUCCAAUAAAAACCUGUAAUGACUUAAAACUAACAGACUUGUCUGAAUUUUUGCUGCCCGUCUCUCCUCCUAGGAGUCUCAGCAGUCUUCUACCAUCUUUCUUUGGCUAAGGCACAUAGGUAAAGUGAUACUCCAAAUGUGUGCCUAACAAAUACUGAUGUGGAGGUUUAAAGCAUUUUUUGUAAGCUGUCCGAACGCUUUCCUUUACUGUCCUUCUUCACAUUUAGAAGACCCCAAUCUUCACUCUUUGCAGGCAUCCUUUGUCUCUGGUAUUGGUGACCGCGGUCAGGACACCAGCUGUGCCCAAGGACAAGCUGGAAGGGAAGCACACUUCUGGAGCAGGCUGGUGACACAAGCGGAGUCUCAGCCUUCUGCUGCGAUGCAGCAGAUUGAACGUUUCAUUCAUGCAAAUGCACAUUUCCUGGCAGUGCCGGGGCUGGCCUGGAAUCCAGACCUGGUCUGCUCAAGAGCAAGGUCAAUUUGUGGACUUCCCUCCUUCAAGAUGCUAUCAGGACAAGGCGUGAAGUUGGAUGCCUAAAACAGAUUAAGAAGAUUUUCUCAACACUGGUACCCAAGUAAGUGCUGUGAGUAAUUUGCAAGCUAGAGAAAGUGAGCCAAAAAUCACAUUUUGAGUCGGAAAGGAUGCUGGAGCAGAAUUAUGUAAAACUCUGUCUCAGACGGUAACAGAGUUUUGACAAGUGNNNNNNNNNNNNNNNNNNNNUUCUAGUCUGGUAAGAGAUCUUACAAAGAUAAUGCUGGUAUUAAUUCUAAUGAGCAAAUAUGUCUUUAUGCAGAGCAAGGUCAAUUUGUGGACUUCCCUCCUUCAAGAUGCUAUCAGGACAAGGCGUGAAGUUGGAUGCCUAAAACAGAUUAAGAAGAUUUUCUCAACACUGGUACCCAAGUAAGUGCUGUGAGUAAUUUGCAAGCUAGAGAAAGUGAGCCAAAAAUCACAUUUUGAGUCGGAAAGGAUGCUGGAGCAGAAUUAUGUAAAACUCUGUCUCAGACGGUAACAGAGUUUUGACAAGUGCAUUUUGUGACACGGCCCUGCUGAGCGUGAGCCAGCACGGAGGCAGGAGCCGGGCAGGUGAGCUACUGUGUUGCGUGAAAGCCCAUAUUGACAGCGGUGCUCAUGUACAGGCUGUAGGGCUUCACGUGAAAGAAGUUUCCUACCUAGUAGAACGCAGCGCUUGGUAUUUUCAGUUAAACAGAAUUAAGGAUGGUCCCAGUGACAAGGAUCAUAAGCUGCCGG